rnacentral:tRNA from 1 species
GCGUCCUUAGUUCAGUUGGUAGAACGCAGGUCUCCAACACCUGAUGUCGUGGGUUCGAGUCCUACAGGGCGCGCCA